rnacentral:rRNA from 1 species
CUACGGGCUGCAGCAGUGGGGAAUAUUGGACAAUGGGGGAAACCCUGAUCCAGCAAUGCCGCGUGUGUGAAGAAGGCCUGCGGGUUGUAAAGCACUUUCGGUUGGGAGGACUGCUUCUAGCACUAAUAUUGUUGGAAGUUGACGUUACCUUCAGAAGAAGCACCGGCUAACUCCGUGCCAGCGGCCGCGGUAAUACGGAGGGUGCAAGCGUUAAUCGGAAUUACUGGGCGUAAAGCGCGCGUAGGCGGCUAGAUCAGUCGGGUGUGAAAGCCCCGGGCUUAAACUGGGAACUGCAUCCGAUACUGUCUAGCUUGAGUACAGGAGAGGAGAGUGGAAUUCCACAUGUAGCGGUGAUAUGCGUAGAUAUGUGGAGGAACACCAAUGGCGAAGGCAGCUCUCUGGCCUGAUACUGACGCUGAGGUGCGAAAGCGUGGGGAGCAAACAGGAUUAGAUACCCUAGUAGUC